GACGAACGCUUGCUGUGUGCUUAAUACAUGCAUGUCGUACGAGGUCUUUAUGGCCUAGUGGCGAAUGGGUGAGUAACACGUACCUAACCUACCUUUUAGAUUGGGAUAACUAUUGGAAACAGUAGCUAAUACCGAAUAUGCAUUGCAAUCGCAUGAUUGCUUUAUGAAAGGGGCGUUUGCCCCGCUAAGAGAUGGGGGUGCGCCAUAUUAGCUAGUUGGUAGGGUAAGGGCCUACCAAGGCGAUGAUAUGUAGCCGGACUGAGAAGUUGAUCGGCCACACUGGGACUGAGAUACGGCCCAGACUCCUACGGGAGGCAGCAGUAGGGAAUUUUCCGCAAUGAGCGAAAGCUUGACGGAGCGACACAGCGUGCAGGAUGAAGGUCUUCGGAUUGUAAACUGCUGUUGUAAGGGAAGAAAAAAUCUAGUAGGAAAUGACUAGAUCUUGACGGUACCUUAUUAGAAAGUGACGGCUAACUAUGUGCCAGCCGCCGCGGUAAAAC
rnacentral:rRNA from 1 species